CCUAAAUCGAGUUCAACCGUACAACCGCACUACUAUUGUGAUAUUUUUUAUUAACCACAUUGCGUUUUCGCUCUCUCUUGUAUGCCGCCACUUCAUCCGACGAUUUUGAAACCAAACUUUGACCUAAUGAUGACACAAAGUUGACAUAUCAGAUUUUAUUUGAUAAAUUAUAUAACCUGUGCGUCGGUUAGACCUAAAGUUGCUGCCAACUGUCGUCUGUCUGGUUUCGUGAUGUAUUUCUGUAGAGAGAAUCUUCUUUCC